AGUGAACGCUGGCGGUAGGCCUAACACAUGCAAGUCGAACGGCAGCACAGGAGAGCUUGCUCUCUGGGUGGCGAGUGGCGGACGGGUGAGGAAUACAUCGGAAUCUACUCUGUCGUGGGGGAUAACGUAGGGAAACUUACGCUAAUACCGCAUACGACCUACGGGUGAAAGCAGGGGACCUUCGGGCCUUGCGCGAUUGAAUGAGCCGAUGUGGGAUUAGCUAGUUGGCGGGGUAAAGGCCCACCAAGGCGACGAUCCGUAGCUGGUCUGGGAGGAUGAUCAGCCACACUGGAGCUGAGACACGGUCCAGACUCCUACGGGAGUCAGCAGUGGGGAAUAUUGGACAAUGGGCGCAAGCCUGAACCAGCCAUACCGCGUGGGUGAAGAAGGCCUUCGGGUUGUAAAGCCCUUUUGUUGGGAAAGAAAUCCAGCUGGCUAAUACCCGGUUGGGAUGACGGUACCCAAAGAAUAAGCACCGGCUAACUUCGUGCCAGCCGCCGCGGUAA
rnacentral:rRNA from 1 species